rnacentral:lncRNA from 1 species
UCAGCAUAGUAUGGCUCACAUGUACCUCCCGGGUCCCAUUCUGCAGCUUGAGCUCUUACUUGGAGUUGGUGGCAGGGAUGGGUGUGAGGGGCAGCUCUGAGGGUCGCUCCUGGUCUGCCUGCAUCCUUAGUUGCAGAGCAGGCUGUCUCCCCACACACUUCCAGGAGGACUACCCUGGGAGACACAAGAAAGGGCCUUAUAGCCACCAAACGGAGAUCUGCUGAUGGACCUGCCUCCUGCCAGUGCCAGGUAGGGGCCUGGUGACAGCAUCAUGAGGCAAAUAAGAGAGAAAAAGGCUCCACGGAGCAUAACAGGGUCUGACCCAGGAAUCCAGGAGUUCAUAUAGGAGCCCUGCCCUUCCAUUGCUGUGACAGACAGAAUGAGCAGGAGCCUAACUUAACAGCCCUCUGAGAGACUCUACCCAGAAGAUGACUGAGACAGAUGGAUAUACCUACAGACAAACAUUGGACGGAGGUUGGGGACCUCCAUGGCAGAGUUAGGGAAGGAGAUGACAACCUCACAGGAAGACCAACAGUGUCAACUAAUCUGGACCUUCUAGGAGUUCACAGAGACAGAGCCACCAAGCAAAGAGCAUACAUAGGCUGGUCUGAGCCCCCUGAUUCCUAUGUAGCACAGGGCUGUCAUAUCUGGCUGCCUCAGUGGGAGAGGAUGUGCCUAAUCUUGCAGGGAUUUGGUGCACAAGGGUGCGUGUGAGAGAGCUACAGGGGGUGUGCUGCCCUCUUAGAGGAGGAGGGGAGGGGAAUGGGGAGGAGCUCUGUGAGGGUAGACCAGGAAGGGGGCAACAUUUGGGAUAUAAGUAAAUAAAUGAAUUUUCA